GCUACGGAAUUGCCAUUUUUUUUCUUUCCGAGCCGACGCUCAUUGUUAGCCUGAGAAUCUCAGUGUUGGGGUUCGAAUCAAGCUCAAAGACUCGGGCGUGAUUUCCAUUUCAUGGCAGCCAAGGAAGAAAAACUCAUUUGAAUCGUCGCAACCAUCUCGACUUCCGAUUUCGCUACUUAUUUGAUUUGUAAUAAUUUAAAGAUGGUGAAUGAUCCACACAUUGGGAAACUUUGGCCUGCCAACGGGCCAGGAAAUCCAUGAAUCUUUCAUUUGGUUGCUCGCGAGUCAUUUCGAGCCCUCUUCUGGUUACUUUAGUGUAGAGCUACAAAAUGCCAAUAUCAUCUCUCAUUGUCAAGCGAUCCUUCUGAAAAAGAUGAAUUCGAAGAAAAGAAGAAAGGGGAAGGGAGACUGGCGAGCCUGAGCUGUACAAAUGUUGAAUGCUGAGCUGUUAUUGUUUGUGUACUAAUGAACAACCAGUACUGAAUCGCAGUUUGCAGUUUUGUUCAAUCGAUUUGCUGCAAAUUGUCUGCAGAUAUGGCCUCUGAUGGCAGCCUUAGCGUUGUGGUUUCCACAUCUCCUAAACAUGGCAACAGAGAUGCUGAGACCGUGAGGUCGAGUUCACCGAAAGGCCAGUGUUUAUGCUCACCCACGAUGCAUCAAGGCUCCUUUAGGUGUCGGCUUCAUCGUUCGACGUCAUCAGCAUGGAUGAAACGAUCGAAAUCAAUGCCUGCCGACCACCCUGUGGCCUCUCUUUCUUCCAAAGAAUCUCUUGGAUCUUCCUAAGGGCCUGUGCAUGAAGCUAAGUACAUGUACCACACCUUAAACUUAUAUCCUUCUGGUUCUCUCAAGUUGUGGAGAAGAAAAGCUUUGAUCUUAUAUCUCAACUUUGUAUGCAAUGGAUUAUAUAUAACAUAUUUGUGUGUUCACGCAUGCAAUGCUUAUCUGUGU